UACGGGGGGAGCAAGCGUUGUUCGGAUUUACUGGGCGUAAAGGGCGCGUAGGCGGCGCAACAAGUCAGUUGUGAAAUCUCUGGGCUUAACUCAGAGCGGUCAACUGAUACUGUCGUGCUAGAGUGCGGAAGGGGCAACUGGAAUUCUCGGUGUAGCGGUGAAAUGCGUAGAUAUCGAGAGGAACACCUGCGGCGAAGGCGGGUUGCUGGGCCGACACUGACGCUGAGGCGCGAAAGCCAGGGGAGCGAACGGG
rnacentral:rRNA from 1 species